AAAGAAACCAACAGGGGAUGCCAUUUAUUAAAAGUUAACAUAAGAAAACAGACUGUGGCUGCAGCGUUCCUAACCCUCAAACCAAUAGAUGGUGCUGUACAAAUGAUCGCAGGCAAAAAACUGAAGACAGCAAAUCUGGAGCAGCCCUGACGAGGGAUAAUGCUUCCUGCUAUAUGUAAUGUUUGUGUAACAGAGAGAUCUGCUUGUGGAUGAGGAGUUAGCCAAGGAGGCACAAAGACAACUGUAAGGUCCUAUGCAGGUUUUUAUUUAUUGGGACCCAAUGAAUAACUGUUUACACUUGGAAGAACUGAAAUUUUACAUAUUCAAGGUUUUAAGGAGAAACGCAAUGAUCGAGAUUUUGAGAAAGCAAAACAAAAUAGGAAAAUUUAA